UUGAACGCUGGCGGCAUGCCUUACACAUGCAAGUCGAACGGCAGCACGGGGGCAACCCUGGUGGCGAGUGGCGAACGGGUGAGUAAUACAUCGGAACGUGCCCUGAAGUGGGGGAUAACGUAGCGAAAGUUACGCUAAUACCGCAUAUUCUGUGAGCAGGAAAGCAGGGGAUCGCAAGACCUUGCGCUUUAGGAGCGGCCGAUGUCGGAUUAGCUAGUUGGUGAGGUAAAGGCUCACCAAGGCGACGAUCCGUAGCGGGUCUGAGAGGAUGAUCCGCCACACUGGGACUGAGACACGGCCCAGACUCCUACGGGAGGCAGCAGUGGGGAAUUUUGGACAAUGGGCGCAAGCCUGAUCCAGCCAUGCCGCGUGAGUGAAGAAGGCCUUCGGGUUGUAAAGCUCUUUCGGCGGGGAAGAAACGGUUGAGGCUAAUAUCCUUGACUAAUGACGGUACCUUCAGAAGAAGCACCGGCUAACUACGU
rnacentral:rRNA from 1 species